rnacentral:rRNA from 1 species
CGGCGACCGGCGGACGGUGCGUAACGCGUAUGUAACCUACCUUUGACAGGGGGAUAACAUCGAGAAAUUGGUACUAAUACCCCAUAACAUCACCGGAGGCAUCUUCGGUGGUUGAAAACUCAGGUGGUCAGAGAUGGACAUGCGUUGUAUUAGCUAGUUGGUGAGGUAACGGCUCACCAAGGCGACGAUACAUAGGGGGACUGAGAGGUCAACCCCCCACAUUGGUACUGAGACACGGACCAAACUCCUACGGAAGGCAGCAG